rnacentral:rRNA from 1 species
GAUACAGGGUGACAGCCCCGUACACAAAAGCGCAUGUGCUGUGAGCUCGAUGAGUAGGGCGGGACACGUGGUAUCCUGUCUGAAUAUGGGGGGACCAUCCUCCAAGGCUAAAUACUCCUGACUGACCGAUAGUGAACCAGUACCGUGAGGGAAAGGCGAAAAGAACCCCGGCGAGGGGAGUGAAAAAGAACCUGAAACCGUGUACGUACAAGCAGUGGGAGCCCCACCACUAAGCCAGUGGUGAACUCCACAUACGCAUCCUUUGCUGAGGAUACGGUUAACGGAGCGAAAGCGACGUUCAACCGCAAAAGAAGCAGAGGGGGCUUAGUGGUGGGGUGACUGCGUACCUUUUGUAUAAUGGGUCAGCGACUUAUAUUCUGUAGCAAGGUUAACCGAAUAGGGGAGCCGGAGGGAAACCGAGUCUUAAUUGGGCGUUAAGUUGCAGGGUAUAGACCCGAAACCCGGUGAUCUAGCCAUGGGCAGGUUGAAGGUUGGGUAACACUAACUGGAGGACCGAACCGACUAAUGUUGAAAAAUUAGCGGAUGACCUGUGGCUGGGGGUGAAAGGCCAAUCAAACCGGGAGAUAGCUGGUUCUCCCCGAAAG